rnacentral:lncRNA from 1 species
AUAUUAUUCCUAAAUGAUAACUAAUAAAAUAAAACUAUUUCUUUUUAGUGGCAAACACUAUGAUCUGGAACAGCUUCUGAGAAAGAGGAAGGAGACAAAGCCACACAACUUGGAGUGCUCCAAAGAGGAGGAAAAAGAUGAGAAGGAGAGAGCUGAGCUCUUGGUUCUUCUUGUGCAUCAUCAGCAAGAAGACUUACUAAUCUCUGUGUAGUGACACCUGUCUGGAGUCCCCAUUAACUGGUAAGGUGCGACAAAUGUUGAAAAGUCAUAAAUCUGAAGACCUAGAGUUUCAUGGGUGGGAAUGGACUCACUGAGUGUCUGGAACCUUUCUUUUCAGAGGAGACUUGUUGGGUGAGUCCUUGGUCCUUUUGUAGGGGUUUGUGGUGGAUUUUGAUGCCGUUUUUAGGGUAGACUGAGUGCUGACCUGUG